rnacentral:rRNA from 1 species
GACUGGGAUAACUUCGGGAAACCGGAGCUAAUACCGGAUAAUAUUUCGAACCGCAUGGUUCGAUAGUGAAAGAUGGCUCUGCUAUCACUUAUAGAUGGACCUGCGCCGUAUUAGCUAGUUGGUAAGGUAACGGCUUACCAAGGCAACGAUACGUAGCCGACCUGAGAGGGUGAUCGGCCACACUGGAACUGAGACACGGUCCAGACUCCUACGGGAGGCAGCAGUAGGGAAUCUUCCGCAAUGGGCGAAAGCCUGACGGAGCAACGCCGCGUGAGUGAUGAAGGUCUUCGGAUCGUAAAACUCUGUUAUUAGGGAAGAACAAACGUGUAAGUAACUGUGCACGUCUUGACGGUACCUAAUCAGAAAGCCACGGCUAACUACGUGCCAGCAGCCGCGGUAAUACGUAGGUGGCAAGCGUUAUCCGGAAUUAUUGGGCGUAAAGCGCGCGUAGGCGGUUUUUUAAGUCUGAUGUGAAAGCCCACGGCUCAACCGUGGAGGGUCAUUGGAAACUGGAAAACUUGAGUGCAGAAGAGGAAAGUGGAAUUCCAUGUGUAGCGGUGAAAUGCGCAGAGAUAUGGAGGCACACCAGUGGCGAAGGCGACUUUCUUGUCUGUAACUGACGCUGAUGUGCGAAAGCGUGGGGAUCACACAGGAUUAGAUCCCGUGGUAGUACACGCUGUAAGCGAUGAGUGAUAAGUGUUAGGGGGUUUCCGCCCUUUAGUGGUGCAGAUAACGCAUUAAGCACUCCGCGUGGGGAGUACGACCGCAAGGUUGAAACUCAAAGGAAUUGACGGGGACCCGCACAAGCGGUGGAGCAUGUGGUUUAAUUAGAAGCAACGAGAAGCACCUUACCAAAUCUUGACAUCCUUUGACCUUUAUAGAGAUAGAAGUUUCCUUUCGGGGGACAAAGUGACAGGUGGUGCAUGGUUGUUGUCAGCUCGUGUCGUGAGAUGUUGGGUUAAGUCCCGCAACGAGCGCAACCCUUAAGUUUAGUUGCCAUCAUUAAGUUGGGCACUAUAAGUUGACCGCCGGUGACAAACCGGAGGAAGGUGGGGAUGACGUCAAAUCAUCAUGCCCCUUAUGAUUUGGGCUACACACGUGCUACAAUGGACAAUACAAAGGGCAGCGAAACCGCGAGGUCAAGCAAAUCCCAUAAAGUUGUUCUCAGUUCGGAUUGUUGUCCGCAAC